UGGUCUUGACAUCCCVAGGAAUCCUGCAGAGAUGCGGGAGUGCCUUCGGGAACCUGGAGACAGGUGCUGCAUGGCUGUCGUCAGCUCGUGUCGAAAAAAGUGGRGUUAAGHCCCGCAACGAGCGCAACCCUUGCCCUUAGUYGCCAUCAUUAWGUUGGGAACUCUAAGGGGAMCGCCGGUGACAAACCGGAGGAAGGUGGGGAUGACGUCAAGUCAUCAUGGCCCCUUAUGACCCAGGGCUACACACGUGCUUACAAUGGCUCGGUACAGAGGGUCGCCAACCCGCGAGGGGGAGCCAAUCCCUUAAAACCCGAUCGUAGUCCGGAUCGCAGUCUGCAACUCGAUGCGUGAAGUCGGAUCG
rnacentral:rRNA from 1 species